AGCGAACGCUGGCGGCGUGCCUAACACAUGCAAGUCGAACGUGAAAGGGAGCAAUCCCAAGUAAAGUGGCGUACGGGUGAGUAACACGUAGGUAAUCUACCCCAGAGUCUGGAAUAACCUGCCGAAAGGCGGGCUAAUACUGGAUAGAGCGACGGAAUCCGUAAUUGGGUUUUUCGGGAAAGGGAGGAAGCAAUUCCCUUCGCUCUGGGAUGAGCCUGCGUCUGAUUAGCUAGUUGGUGGGGUAACGGCCCACCAAGGCAAUGAUCGGUAGCUGGUCUGAGAGGCUGAUCCGCCACACUGGAACUGAAACACGGUCCAGGCUCCUACGGGAGGCAGCAGUGGGGAAUCUUGCGCAAUGGACGAAAGUCUGACGCAGCCACGCCGCGUGAGUGAAGAAGGCCUUCGGGUUGUAAAGCUCUGUCGGGCGGGACGAAAACUUUUAGGGUGAAUAGCCCUAGGAAUUGACGGUACCGCCAAAGGAAGCACCGGCUAACUUCGUGCCAGCAGCCGCAGUAA
rnacentral:rRNA from 1 species